CAGUAGCCACGGUAAUACGGAGGGUGCAAGCGUUAAUCGGAAUUACUGGGCGUAAAGCGUGCGCAGGCGGUUAUAUAAGACAGAUGUGAAAUCCCCGGGCUCAACCUGGGACCUGCAUUUGUGACUGUAUAGCUAGAGUACGGUAGAGGGGGAUGGAAUUCCGCGUGUAGCAGUGAAAUGCGUAGAUAUGCGGAGGAACACCGAUGGCGAAGGCAAUCCCCUGGGCCUGCACUGACGCUCAUGCACUAAAGCGUGGGGAGCAAACAGGAUUAGAUACCCCCGUAGUCCCUGUCUCUUAUAC
rnacentral:rRNA from 1 species